rnacentral:rRNA from 1 species
AUUGAACGCUGGCGGCAUGCCUUACACAUGCAAGUCGAACGGUAACGCGGGGCAACCUGGCGACGAAUGGCGAACGGGUGAGUAAAGCGUCGGAACGAGCCCAGUAGUGGGGGAUAGCCCGGCGAAAGCCGGAUUAAUACCGCAUACGACCUAUGGGUGAAAGGGGGGGAGCGCAAGACCUCUCGCUAUUGGAGCGGCCGAUGUCAGAUUAGGUAGUUGGGGGGGUAAAGGCCUACCAAGCCGACGAUCUGUAGCUGGUCUGAGAGGACGGCCAGCCACACUGGGACUGAGACACGGCCCAGACUCCUACGGGAGGCAGCAGUGGGGAAUUUUGGACAAUGGGCGCAAGCCUGAUCCAGCCAUGCCGCGUGCGGGAAGAAGGCCUUCGGGUUGUAAACCGCUUUUGUCAGGGAAGAAAUCCUUUGGGUUAAUACCUCGGGGGGAUGACGGUACCUGAAGAAUAAGCACCGGCUAACUACGUGCCAGCAGCCGCCGCCG